rnacentral:rRNA from 1 species
GAUGAACGCUGGCGGCGUGCCUAAUACAUGCAAGUCGAGCGAAUGGAUUAAGAGCUUGCUCUUAUGAAGUUAGCGGCGGACGGGUGAGUAACACGUGGGUAACCUGCCCAUAAGACUGGGAUAACUCCGGGAAACCGGGGCUAAUACCGGAUAACAUUUUGAACCGCAUGGUUCGAAAUUGAAAGGCGGCUUCGGCUGUCACUUAUGGAUGGACCCGCGUCGCAUUAGCUAGUUGGUGAGGUAACGGCUCACCAAGGCAACGAUGCGUAGCCGACCUGAGAGGGUGAUCGGCCACACUGGGACUGAGACACGGCCCAGACUCCUACGGGUGGCAGCAGGAGGGAAUCUUCCGCAAUGGACGAAAGUCUGACGGAGCAACGCCGCGUGAGUGAUGAAGGCUUUCGGGUCGUAAAACUCUGUUGUGAGGGAAGAACAAGUGCUAGUUGAAUAAGCGGGCACCUUGACGGUACCUAACCAGAAAGCCACGGCUAACUACGUGCCAGCAGCCGCAGUAA